UACAGAGGGUGCAAGCGUUGUUCGGAAUUAUUGGGCGUAAAGCGCGUGUAGGCGGCUUUGCAAGUCGGGUGUGAAAUCCCUCAGCUCAACUGAGGAAGUGCGCCCGAAACUGCAGAGCUUGAAUACCGGAGAGGAUGGCGGAAUUCCCCAAGUAGAGGUGAAAUUCGUAGAUAUCGGGAGGAACACCAGUGGCGAAGGCGGCUUCCUGGCCUGUUCUUGACGCUGAGGCGCGAAAGCUAGGGGAGCAAACGGG
rnacentral:rRNA from 1 species